UACGGAGGGUGCAAGCGUUAUCCGGAUUCACUGGGUUUAAAGGGUGCGUAGGUGGGCAGGUAAGUCAGUGGUGAAAUCUCCGGGCUUAACCCGGAAACUGCCAUUGAUACUAUCUGUCUUGAAUACCGUGGAGGUGAGCGGAAUAUGUCAUGUAGCGGUGAAAUGCUUAGAUAUGACAUAGAACACCAAUUGCGAAGGCAGCUCACUACUCAAUCAUUGACUCUGAGGCACGAAAGCGUGGGGAUCAAACAGG
rnacentral:rRNA from 1 species